UGGGGAAUAUUGGACAAUGGGGGAAACCCGUAGCAUCCAGCAAUGCCGCGUGAGUGAUGAAGGCCUUAGGGUUGUAAAGCUCUUUUACCCGGGAUGAUAAUGACAGUACCGGGAGAAUAAGCUCCGGCUAACUCCGUGCCAGCAGCCGCGGUAAUACGGAGGGAGCUAGCGUUGUUCGGAAUUACUGGGCGUAAAGCGCACGUAGGCGGCUUUGUAAGUUAGAGGUGAAAGCCUGGAGCUCAACUCCAGAAUUGCCUUUGAUACUGCAUGGCUUGAAUCCAGGAGAGGUGAGUGGAAUUCCGAGUGUAGAGGUGAAAUUCGUAGAUAUUCGGAAGAACACCAGUGGCGAAGGCGGCUCACUGGACUUGGUAUUGACGCUGAGGUGCGAAAGCGUGGGGAGCAAAACA
rnacentral:rRNA from 1 species